UGCGGGCGGCCGGGCGCGGGCGGCGGGACAGACGGGCGCACGCGAGGACUGACGGACGGACGCACGGAGGGCGGCGGGCACGCACGGCCCGGGCCGGCGCUCCAAGGCCCGCCCGGGAGGGCCGGGGCCGCGCUCAGAAUUUUGAUUUGGCUGCUGGGCUGCUACCUUGAAAUCCAAGCCCUAAAAAUGCCAGCUUCUUUGGACUUAGAAGAUGACCUGGAUAAAUGAUAAAAAUUAAGAAAGAGAUUUUGAAGUUUUCUUAUUGUCCUCUUGGCAUAUGCUUCUGGAAUAAUAUUCACCAUGGUUUUGGAUGACCUUCCAAACUUAGAAGACAUCUAUACUUCCUUGUGUUCAUCAACAAUGGAAGACUCAGAGAUGGAUUUUGACUCUGGACUAGAAGAUGAUGACACAAAAAGUGAUAGUAUUUUGGAGGAUUCCACAAUUUUUGUGGCCUUCAAAGGAAAUGUAGAUGAUAAAGACUUCAAAUGGAAAUUAGAUGCAAUAUUGAAAAACGUGCCCAAUUUGUUACACAUGGAGUCCAGCAAGCUAAAAGUACAGAAGGUGGAGCCCUGGAACAGUGUGCGUGUGACAUUCAACAUCCCCCGGGAAGCAGCAGAGCGGCUACGGAUCCUUGCUCAGAGCAACAACCAGCAGCUUCGGGAUUUAGGGAUUCUCUCCGUUCAGAUUGAAGGGGAAGGUGCUAUUAACCUGGCUUUGGCUCAGAACCGAAGCCAAGAUGUGAGAAUGAAUGGACCCAUGGGAGCUGGAAAUUCAGUUAGGAUGGAGGCGGGAUUUCCUAUGGCAAGUGGUCCAGGAAUAAUAAGGAUGAACAACCCUGCCACUGUUAUGAUACCCCCGGGUGGAAAUGUGUCAUCUUCCAUGAUGGCACCAGGCCCCAAUCCAGAGCUGCAGCCCAGGACUCCUCGCCCUGCUUCUCAGUCAGAUGCAAUGGAUCCACUCCUCUCUGGGCUCCAUAUACAGCAGCAAAGUCAUCCCUCAGGAUCUUUAGCUCCCCCACAUCACCCAAUGCAGCCUGUCUCUGUGAACAGACAAAUGAACCCAGCUAAUUUUCCCCAGCUGCAGCAGCAGCAGCAGCAACAACAACAACAGCAGCAGCAGCAGCAGCAGCAACAACAGCAACAGCAACAGCAGCAACAACAACAGUUGCAGGCAAGACCCCCACAGCAACAUCAGCAGCAACAGCCACAGGGAAUUCGACCCCAGUUUACUGCCCCAACUCAGGUGCCUGUUCCUCCAGGCUGGAACCAGCUGCCUUCUGGAGCCCUUCAACCUCCUCCAGCCCAGGGUUCUCUGGGCACAAUGACUGCAAACCAAGGGUGGAAGAAGGCUCCCUUGCCCGGCCCAAUGCAACAGCAACUCCAGGCAAGACCAUCCUUAGCCACGGUACAGACGCCUUCCCACCCUCCCCCUCCAUAUCCCUUUGGCAGCCAGCAAGCCUCACAAGCCCACACAAACUUUCCUCAGAUGAGCAACCCAGGCCAGUUCACAGCUCCUCAGAUGAAGAGUUUGCAGGGAGGGCCCUCUAGGGUCCCAACUCCCCUGCAGCAGCCCCACCUCACCAACAAGUCUCCUGCCUCCUCACCCUCCUCCUUCCAGCAGGGAUCCCCUGCAUCCUCCCCAACGGUUAACCAAACUCAGCAGCAGAUGGGACCAAGGCCACCUCAAAAUAACCCACUUCCCCAGGGAUUUCAGCAGCCUGUCAGCUCUCCGGGUCGGAAUCCUAUGGUUCAACAGGGAAAUGUGCCACCUAACUUCAUGGUGAUGCAGCAGCAACCACCAAACCAGGGGCCACAGAGUUUACAUCCAGGCCUAGGAGGAAUGCCUAAACGCCUCCCACCUGGCUUCUCAGCAGGACAGGCCAAUCCGAACUUUAUGCAAGGUCAGGUGCCUUCGACCACAGCAACCACCCCUGGGAAUUCAGGAGCCCCUCAGCUGCAAGCAAAUCAAAAUGUCCAGCAUGCAGGUGGUCAAGGAGCUGGUCCUCCUCAAAACCAGAUGCAGGUGUCCCACGGGCCGCCAAAUAUGAUGCAGCCCAGCCUCAUGGGAAUUCAUGGCAACAUGAACAAUCAGCAGGCUGGUAGUUCUGGGGUUCCUCAAGUGAACCUCAGCAACAUGCAAGGCCAGCCCCAGCAGGGCCCACCAUCUCAGCUGAUGGGCAUGCACCAGCAAAUCAUGCCCUCCCAGGGCCAGAUGGUCCAGCAACAAGGAACCUUGAACCCUCAGAACCCUAUGAUCCUUUCAAGGGCCCAGCUUAUGCCACAGGGCCAGAUGAUGGUGAACCCUCCGAGCCAAAAUCUUGGGCCCUCGCCCCAAAGGAUGACCCCACCCAAGCAGAUGCUUUCCCAGCAGGGCCCACAAAUGAUGGCGCCACAUAACCAGAUGAUGGGGCCUCAGGGGCAGGUUUUGCUCCAACAGAACCCAAUGAUAGAGCAGAUUAUGACCAAUCAAAUGCAGGGGAAUAAGCAGCAGUUUAACACUCAGAACCAGUCCAAUGUCAUGCCGGGACCAGCCCAGAUAAUGAGGGGACCAACUCCGAACAUGCAAGGAAAUAUGGUGCAGUUUACGGGACAGAUGUCAGGACAGAUGCUGCCCCAGCAAGGGCCUGUGAACAACAGUCCAUCUCAGGUUAUGGGCAUUCAGGGACAGGUCCUGCGGCCACCAGGGCCCAGCCCACACAUGGCCCAGCAGCAUGGUGAUCCUGCUACUACAGCAAAUAACGAUGUCAGUUUAUCUCAGAUGAUGCCUGAUGUUAGCAUGCAACAAACCAACAUGGUCCCCCCUCAUGUGCAGGCCAUGCAGGGAAACAGUGCUUCGGGAAACCACUUCUCAGGCCAUGGGAUGUCUUUCAAUGCACCUUUCAGUGGAGCUCCCAAUGGAAAUCAGAUGUCCUGUGGUCAAAAUCCAGGCUUCCCAGUCAAUAAGGAUGUCACGCUAACGAGCCCAUUGUUGGUCAACUUAUUGCAGAGUGACAUAUCUGCAGGCCAUUUUGGGGUAAACAGUAAGCAAAAUAAUACCAACGCAAAUAAACCGAAGAAGAAGAAACCCCCUCGGAAGAAGAAAAAUAGUCAGCAAGAUCUAAACACCCCAGAUACUCGCCCAGCUGGUCUGGAAGAGGCUGAUCAGCCACCGUUGCCUGGAGAACAAGGAAUUAACUUGGAUAACUCAGGCCCUAAACUGCCAGAAUUUUCAAACCGGCCACCAGGUUAUCCUUCUCAACCAGUUGAACAGAGGCCACUUCAGCAGAUGCCUCCUCAACUCAUGCAGCAUGUGGCACCCCCACCACAGCCACCACAGCAGCAGCCACAGCCACAACUGCCUCAGCAGCAGCAGCCACCACCUCCCAGUCAGCCACAGUCUCAGCAGCAGCAGCAGCAGCAGCAACAAAUGAUGAUGAUGCUCAUGAUGCAGCAGGAUCCCAAAUCAGUUAGGCUUCCAGUCUCUCAAAAUGUCCAUCCUCCAAGGGGCCCCCUGAACCCCGACUCCCAGAGAAUGCCCAUGCAACAGAGUGGCAGUGUGCCUGUCAUGGUCAGUCUGCAAGGACCUGCCUCCGUGCCACCAUCACCUGAUAAACAAAGAAUGCCAAUGCCUGUGAAUACUCCUUUGGGAAGCAAUUCAAGGAAAAUGGUCUAUCAGGAGAGCCCGCAGAAUCCUUCCAGCUCACCACUGGCGGAGAUGGCCUCACUCCCUGAAGCAAGUGGCAGUGAAGCACCAUCUGUCCCAGGAGGCCCAAACAACAUGCCUUCACAUGUAGUACUUCCCCAGAAUCAGUUAAUGAUGACAGGGCCAAAACCUGGACCAUCGCCCCUUUCAGCAACUCAAGGUGCAACUCCCCAGCAACCCCCUGUAAAUUCCCUGCCCAGCUCUCACGGCCACCACUUUCCAAAUGUGGCUGCGCCAACCCAGACAUCUAGGCCCAAAACACCAAACAGAGCCAGCCCCAGACCCUAUUAUCCUCAGACACCCAACAACCGCCCUCCCAGCACAGAACCUUCAGAAAUCAGUCUGUCACCAGAAAGACUCAAUGCCUCCAUAGCAGGACUCUUCCCUCCACAGAUUAAUAUUCCUUUACCUCCUAGGCCAAAUUUAAACAGGGGCUUUGAUCAACAAGGCCUAAAUCCAACAACUUUGAAGGCCAUCGGGCAAGCACCUUCAAAUCUUACCAUGAAUCCUUCCAAUUUUGCUACCCCACAAACUCACAAAUUAGAUUCUGUGGUAGUGAAUUCUGGAAAGCAGUCUAAUUCUGGAGCAACAAAACGGGCAAGUCCAAGCAACAGUCGCAGGUCUAGUCCUGGGUCCAGUAGGAAAACCACUCCAAGCCCUGGGAGGCAAAAUUCAAAAGCCCCUAAACUUACUCUGGCCUCUCAGACAAAUGCAGCCCUAUUGCAGAAUGUGGAGUUGCCGAGAAAUGUAUUGGUCAGUCCCACUCCUCUGGCCAAUCCCCCUGUACCUGGGAGCUUUCCUAACAACAGUGGGCUGAAUCCUCAGAAUUCUACUGUGUCUGUGGCUGCAGUUGGGGGUGUUGUUGAGGAUAACAAGGAGAGCUUGAAUGUGCCUCAGGACAGUGAUUGCCAGAAUUCCCAGAGUAGGAAGGAACAGGUAAACAUUGAACUAAAAGCAGUCCCUGCCCAAGAAGUUAAAAUGGUUGUCCCUGAAGAUCAAUCCAAAAAGGAUGGGCAGCCUUCGGAUCCUAACAAACUUCCCAGUGUCGAAGAGAACAAAAAUUUGGUGUCUCCUGCUAUGAGGGAAGCACCAACAUCGUUAAGUCAACUUCUUGACAACUCUGGAGCUCCCAAUGUGACAAUUAAACCCCCUGGGCUUACAGAUCUGGAAGUAACACCUCCAGUAGUUUCUGGGGAGGACCUCAAAAAAGCAUCUGUCAUUCCCACACUGCAGGAUCUGUCUUCUUCUAAAGAACCCUCUAAUUCCCUAAACUUACCUCACAGUAAUGAGCCGUGUUCAUCCCUUGUGCAUCCCGAAUUGAGUGAGGUCAGUUCUAACGUUGCACCAAGCAUCCCUCCAGUAAUGUCAAGACCUGUUAGCUCUUCCUCCAUUUCCACUCCCUUGCCCCCAAAUCAAAUAACUGUAUUUGUCACUUCCAAUCCCAUCACAACUUCAGCUAACACAUCAGCAGCUUUGCCAACUCACUUGCAGUCUGCAUUGAUGUCAACAGUUGUCACAAUGCCCAAUGCGGGUAGCAAGGUUAUGGUUUCUGAGGGACAGUCAGCUGCUCAGUCUAAUGCCCGGCCUCAGUUCAUUACACCUGUCUUUAUCAAUUCAUCCUCAAUAAUUCAGGUUAUGAAAGGAUCACAGCCAAGCACAAUUCCUGCAGCCCCACUGACAACCAACUCUGGCCUGAUGCCUCCCUCUGUUGCAGUUGUUGGCCCUUUACACAUACCUCAGAACAUAAAAUUUUCUUCUGCUCCUGUACCGCCUAAUGCCCUCUCCAGUAGUCCUGCUCCAAACAUCCAGACAGGUCGACCUUUGGUCCUUAGCUCACGAGCCACCCCUGUUCAGCUUCCUUCCCCUCCUUGUACAUCUUCUCCAGUUGUCCCUUCUCAUCCCCCUGUGCAGCAAGUGAAAGAAUUGAAUCCAGAUGAGGCUAGCCCUCAGGUGAACACCUCAGCAGAUCAGAACACUCUUCCCUCUUCACAGUCAACCACAAUGGUUUCUCCCCUUUUGACCAAUAGUCCAGGGUCCUCUGUCAACCGGCGAAGCCCAGUCUCGUCUAGUAAGGGCAAAGGAAAAGUGGACAAAAUUGGCCAAAUUUUGUUGACCAAGGCAUGUAAGAAAGUUACAGGCUCUCUUGAGAAAGGGGAAGAACAAUAUGGUGCAGAUGGAGAGACUGAAGGCCAAGGGCUAGACACCACAGCUCCGGGGCUCAUGGGAACAGAGCAGUUAUCCACAGAGCUGGACAGUAAAACCCCAACGCCCCCAGCACCCACUCUGCUAAAAAUGACCUCUAGCCCUGUGGGCCCGGGCACUGCCUCAGCAGGACCCAGCUUACCUGGCGGUGCUCUCCCCACCAGUGUACGCUCGAUAGUAACCACUCUGGUACCCUCCGAGCUCAUCUCCGCCGUACCGACCACAAAAAGCAAUCAUGGUGGCAUAGCAUCUGAGUCACUUGCGGGUGGCCUAGUGGAGGAGAAGGUGGGAUCCCAUCCAGAACUUCUACCCAGCAUAGACUGAGUUCCUGAUGUGCAAGAGGAUAUAGUUUGGUCUCUCAGGGUACCUGGCAGAGUGCCUUGCCCCUACCCCGUCGCAGAAUUUAGUCUCAAAGGAAACUUCAACCACAGCACUGCAGGCCUCUGUUGCCAGACCAGAGCUGGAGGUAAAUGCUGCCGUAGUCUCUGGACAAAGCAGUGAGCCCAAAGAGAUAGUUGAAAAGUCCAAAAUCCCAAGCCGAAGAAACUCCCGAACCGAAGAGCCAACUGUGGCUUCUGAAAGUGUGGAAAAUGGACAUCGUAAACGAUCUUCUCGACCUGCUUCAGCCUCCAGCUCUACUAAAGACAUAACCAGUGCGGUGCAAUCCAAGCGAAGAAAAUCCAAGUAAACAAGCAGGACUGCGACUUGAUACUUGUAAAUGUGUGUGACUUUUACAAAGAGCAAUUUUGAGCUGUGACUUUUUUAAAUCAAUUUCUGUACAGUUAGUAAUUUUAAUAAUGUGGCCCUUUUCCUAGUCCCUGCAACCUGUUUCAUAAAGUGCAAUGGGGAAAGCAGGACUGUUGAGCCCUUUUGGUGUUGCGAGUUGAAGUUCCAGGUUUCUAAAAUGUUGUCUUGUAUUGAAAGGAGCUAAUGCCAUUAUAAAUGUUACUAGUUUUCACAUUUCCUAAGCAGCCUAGAGUACAGGGUGAGCAUUUUUAGAUCUCCUAAUGAUGUAUUGUGCCGUGGAAGUACUGUGUGUGAAUAGCAGUAGUGGGGGCAAAAGCAAUCUUCUCAUUUGGAAAUGUUGUAAAUAAUUUUAUUAUAUAGUGUUUUGGAUGUAUUUGUUGUAGAAAUGGACCAGUAAAUAAAGAGAAUCUAAGGAUUUGUACAAUGUGAAAUAACGUGUUAAAUAAAUGUCAUUGUCAUAGAACAUAAAGUUAUGUUAUUGGUAAGGGA